CAAUCGCAUCGCAGCAGCACGUCGUGCCGCUCCAAUCGUCUCGCUUCCCCGCUUAGCUUCCCGCCGCGCCAUGGCGUCGACCAAGGCUCCCGGCCCCGGCGAGAAGCACCACUCCAUCGACACGCAGCUCCAUCAGCUGGUCCCAGGCAAGGUCUCCGAGGACGACAAGCUCAUCGAGUACGAUGCACUGCUCAUUGAUCGCUUCCUCAACAUCCUCCAGGACCUCCAUGGGCCCAGCCUUCGCGAAUUUGUCCAGGAGUGCUACGAGGUCUCGGCCGACUACGAGGGCAAAGGAGACACGAUGAAGCUGGGCGAGCUCAGCGCCAAGCUCAUGGGGCUGGCCCUCGUCGACGCCAUCCUCGUGGCGAGCUCCAUCCUGCACAUGCUCAACCUCGCCAACCUCAUCGAGGAGGUGCAGAUCACGCACCGCCGCCGCAACAGCAAGCUCAAGAAAGGUGGCUUCGCCGACGAGGGCUCAGCCACCACCGAGUCCGACAUCGAGGAGACGCUCAAGCGCCUCGUGUCCGAGGUCGGCAAGUCCCUCGAGGAGGUGUUCGAGGCGCUCAAGAACCAGAUAGAUCCACAUUUAUGCUUAUGUUUAUUUUAUAUUUUUUGAUUUGAAUAUCUAAACUAUGAUGUUCUAUGAAAGAUCAUUCUUGAAUUUUUGCCUUUAAAUUUUCUUGUUAAAUCUUGUAUACUACACUAUUAAAUGAGUGCUCGUGCGUCACAGUCCCGAGUUUCUCUUUAACGUCAUCCUGGACGGUUCGU